CAUCAGACACGAAGGAGAGGCCAACAGAUGAGGGAAGCCAUUUUUCUGCAAUGGAAUUAAAUGGCCAAGCCCAAGGACUCACAGUUGGAAGACUGGAGAAGACUUUUUAAAAAGAUCUGGAUUUUUCCUUAUGACUUGGAAUCCAUCUUUGUCUUGUAUAACUAGGUCAUAGCACACCAUUCAUGUCAGCAGUUAACAGUUUUGAAUUCCAAAAAAACCUAAAGCAGUAAACAGUCCUCAGCGAAGCCGCCUUUUUGCCUACCCAACCCUGGAAAGUUUGCAGAAGUGGAAGGAGCAGAACGUGAGGGUGUAACUUACAAAAAGCUUGAUCUUCUAGACUCCAUGGCACCGGGCUGAGCGGGUUCUGGGCCGGAGAAGGGGCGACGUUCGGGCACCCCCCGAAUGGACAAUCUUUCCUUCUGUCAACGGCAGGGGCAGGCCUAGUUUGACUCUGACAGUCCUCCCACUAAGGAAUUCCUGGUGACUGGAAGGGGGAGUGACUCAGGCCCUCAACCUCUAGCAGAGUGCCUUGGCUCCCUCCUGUCGUCCUGGGGAACCUCGGCCCCAGCCCUGCCUCCCCAGCCAGUCACAGCUCCUCCCUGGUCACCCUGAGGGAGCUCAGGGCCCGGCUGGUAGCUGGGUUGCUCUGCUUCUGUCCCCCACUCCUGUGGAGCCUGGCAGGCAACUCCAUGAUCUGACCCCGGUUACCUUGACAGCCCUGCCUGGCCUCCCCUCUCAUGGCCCAGCCACCCCAGAACCUGAAGAGGUUUUCUAGCUGCCGUGCAUUUGCCAGGCUGGGUUACCCACCCUACUUUCCCUGCCUGCCCUCCAGUGCUGCCAGGCCUAGUGUGCCAGCCAGCGCUCAGCCUUCAGUAAAGGGUUCCCCUGCUUCCAACCUCCAUUGCACUGCUUCCCCUAAGACUGUGACCUCCUGGAAGGCUGGAGCACAACUGCCUCUCAAUAAACGUGUUGCAAAAAAGGAAAAAAAAAAAAAAAAAA
rnacentral:lncRNA from 1 species